AUUUCAUCUCAGAAGGAAAGGUCAGAGCAUUUCUUUAGGGGAAACAAGGAGAGAGAAAGCUAGAGAGGGAAAACUUCAGCAACUUGCUCAAGACCACCGAUCAUCCCUUUCGAUGGUGCUUCCAAUUCUUCGUGUCUGAGAUUGUGGAAGACGAUUUUCAGAUCGUCACAUUCAUCAGGAGUGGUGAUUUCGGCGUUUUGAUUUUGACCUGAGAAAGGAAAAAAAAAAGGGAGAGAACUGGCUUAAUUUAUAUAUGCCGAUGAAAGGAAAACUGCUGCGGAAGUCUGAAGAUACUUUGAAUGCUUACAAAGCUGCUCAGGCUCACCAAAAUAAAUGCUGAUGCACACAUCACGGCUCAAUAUGUGGGUCUUGGUGCGGUUGCUCGAGAUGAACACGGGGAGCUGCUGUGGGCUGUUGUUCGAAGGGUGCCUGCGGGAUUAGAGGUGGAGGCAGCAGAAGCUGAAGCGGUGCGCUUUGGAAUGCAAAUUGCACAUAGGUUGGGCAUCUUGAACAUCUGGAUUGAGACUCUGCUAAGAACAAACUUGUUCUUCAUCAUAUUAUUUUGGGUUUUAUCUUUUUCUGGAAAAUUUCUCACCGGAAAGAAAUGGAGGGUGAAAAAUAAUUUCGAGAUUAUGGGGUGUUUUGAUUCAAUUUGUCUGCUAGAGGUUUUCAUUACUUGGGGACUAUCGAUUUUGCUGCUAGAUGGUCAAGAUGCAAGUGAAUCAGUUUCAGGGGAUAAAACGAAGGAUGUGGCUCCAAACCAUGCUGCUUCUUCAGGGAAAGGUCCUAUCCUUGAUGUGGUAAUCCUUCUUAACUCGCAACUAUACUUGCUAUGAUGUGUGCUACUUGGUUCUACAGGAACAACUUCAUCUUUGAAAACAUAAUAUUGAACAUAGUGUAUACAACUAUGGGAUUUGUAAAAUGUAUGGCCGUUAUACACACAAAAUAUUCGUUAGAACUGCAGCUCAUGACUACCCUUCUGCAUCAAGUUGGAUUUCCCUCUCCCCCCAUCCUCUCUGAAGGUAUUAUCAUGUUGAAUGUCGACGCUAAUUUGAUCUCUAGGUCACAUGUUGGGUUGGGGAUCGCUGUAAAAAACGAGCUUGCAAUUGGGCAGUGUUUGCUUACUUUAGUUAAGAGGUAUGAAGGGCUGUGGGAAGUAGAACAAACAACACACUUUUCCUUAAACCACUUUUAAUGGUUUUCUCUUAUAUAUCAACUUUAACUUUAUAAAGUUUGCCUCUGAAUUAUUUUUUCAACAGAUUUGGUUUCAUGUUUUAAUUUAGGGAAAAUAUGGAACACAGCUAACCUACUUCUGUACUGAAACCCGCUAAGGUUAAUUCUAAGGUAGCAACUGCAGGUAUGCAGCUCAUUGCAUGAAGCAUAUAGCGAUGACAAUUAUGACUUCAAAUGCAACAGAUCGCUUUUCUUUAUCUUCUUGUUCAGGCAAAACAAAAUGUGAGCUUCACAAGUGUUUACAAAUAUAUAGUACGGAGUAAUAAUAUUGAGCUUUGUAGCUUUUUGGCUUGUUAUUUUACACAUUUUUAGAUCCAUUUUUUACAUCGAGAAUUUUCUUAGUAGGCCCGAAAUUCUAUACUUUGUAAAUUAUCUUCUAAUUAUGUGUUUGAUAUAGCUUGAUUUAAUUCUUGUCAAACUGGGCAUUUAAUAUGUUCUUUAAGAUACAUGUAUAAUCUAAGAAUAUGAUCAAUUUGUUUUGUUCUGGAUUAUUUGGAGUGGAAGUUGUUGCAUUUCAAAUUGUUAGCUGGUUGUA